rnacentral:rRNA from 1 species
GUGGGGGAUAUUGCACAAUGGGGGAAACCCUGAUGCAGCGACGCCGCGUGAAGGAAGACGUACUUCGGUAUGUAAACUUCUAUCAGCAGGGAAGAAGAUGACGGUACCUGACUAAGAAGCCCCGGCUAACUACGUGCCAGCAGCCGCGGUAAUACGUAGGGGGCAAGCGUUAUCCGGAUUUACUGGGUGUAAAGGGAGCGUAGACGGUGAAGCAAGUCUGAUGUGAAAACCCGGGGCUCAACUCCGGGAUUGCAUUGGAAACUGUUUUACUUGAGUGCUGGAGGGGCAAGCGGAAUUCCUGGUGUAGCGGUGAAAUGCGUAGAUAUCAGGAAGAACACCGGUGGCGAAGGCGGCUUGCUGGACAGUAACUGACGUUGAGGCUCGAAAGCGUGGGAAGCAAACAGGAUUAGAUACCCCAGUAGUCC